GAGUUUGAUUAUGGCUCAGAACGAACGCUGGCGGCGCGUCUUAAGCAUGCAAGUCGAACGGUAAGGGAGAGCUUGCUCUCCCCUGGAGUGGCGGACUGGUGAGUAACGCGUGGGUGACCUGCCCUGAAGAUGGGGAUAGCUAGUAGAAAUAUUAGAUAAUACCGAAUGUGCUCAUUUACAUAAAGGUAAAUGAGGAAAGGAGCUACGGCUCCGCUUCAGGAUGGGCCCGCGUCCCAUUAGCUGGUUGGUGAGGUAAAGGCCCACCAAGGCAACGAUGGGUAUCCGGCCUGAGAGGGUGAACGGACACAUUGGGACUGAGAUACGGCCCAAACUCCUACGGGAGGCAGCAGCUAAGAAUCUUCCGCAAUGGACGAAAGUCUGACGGAGCGACGCCGUGUGAAUGAAGAAGGCCGAAAGGUUGUAAAAUUCUUUUGCAGAUGAAGAAUAAACACAGGAGGGGAUGCCUGUGAGAUGA
rnacentral:rRNA from 1 species